AAACAUAGCCAGAGGAAGAUAUUUUUGGUUUAACCUGCCCAAUGUAUUAUUGUAUGAAUGGCCGCGGUACCCUGACCGUGCUAAGGUAGCGUAAUCAGUUGGCUUUUAAAUGGAGUCAGGUAUGAAUGGGAUAACCGGGCUUAGCUGUCUCAAAGACAUUUAUUUGAAUUUACUGUUCAAGUGAAAAAGCUUGACGUAAGAAAAGGGACGAGAAGACCCUUAGAAUUUUGUUUAAAGAGGAUUAUCUCCUCUAUGAUUUUGUUGGGGCGACAGAGAAAUAAUUAAAACUUUCUUUAAAUUAAUCAGUCGGAAUUUUCAGGUUAGGAUAAAUUACCUGAGGGAUAACAGCAUAAUUUUAUAAAUAAGUUUGUGACCUCGAUGUUGGGACUAGGAAAGCUAAAUGGGUUAGCUGCUCAUUGUGCGGAUUCUGUUCGAAUUUUAACUCCUACGUGAUCU
rnacentral:rRNA from 1 species